UACGGCUCAGUAACACGUGGCUAACCUGCCCUUAGGACGAGAACACCCCCGGGAAACUGGGGCUAAUUCUCGAUAGGCGAAGAACUCUGGAAUGAGUCUUCACCCAAUGGAGCCUGCGUUAUGCUCGUAGGUUUCGCCCAAGGAUGGGGCCGCGACCGAUCAGGUUGUUGGUGAGGUAAUGGCUCACCAAGCCUUUUACCGGUGCGGGCCGUGGGAGCGGGAGCCCGGAGAUGGGCACUGAGACAAGGGCCCAGGCCCUACGGGGCGCAGCAGUCGCGAAAACUUUGCAAUAAGCGAAAGCUUGACAGGGCUAUCCCGAGUGCCAUCCGCUGAGGAAGGCUUUUACCCAGUCUAGAACGCUGGGGGAAUAAGGAGAGGGCAAGUCUGGUGUCAGCCGCCGCGGUAAUACCAGCUCUCCGAGUGGUGUGGAUGUUUAUUGGGCCUAAAGCAUCCGUAGCUGGCUAAGUUAGUCCCCUGUUAAAUCCACCGAAUUAAUCGUUGGAUCGCGGGGGAUACUGCUUGGCUAGGGGACGAGAGAGGCAGACGGUAUUUUCGGGGUAGGGGUGAAAUCCUAUAAUCCCGGGAAGACCACCAGUGGCGAAGGCUGUCUGCUAGAACGCGCCCGACGGUGAGGGAUGAAAGCUGGGGGAGCGAACCGGAUUAGAUACCCGGGUAGUCCCAGCUGUAAACGAUGCAGGCUAGGUGUUUGGACGGCCACGUGCCGUUCUAGUGCCGCAGGGAAGCUGUUAAGCCUGCCGCCUGGGGAGUACGAUCGCAAGAUUGAAACUUAAAGGAAUUGGCGGGGGAGCACA
rnacentral:rRNA from 1 species